rnacentral:ribozyme from 1 species
CCAGCGAAUCGUCAUGGUGCCGAAAUGAAGUUGGAGGAUGGGUGAAGUGCGUGCCGGGAGGAGGAGGAGCGGGGGCUAGCGGCGAC